UCAAGCUACAAAGGGCGCAAGGAGAAUGCCUUGGCACUGGGAGCCGAUGAAAGACGUGGUAAGCUGCGAUAAGCUUCGGGGAGGAGCAAACAUCCUUUGAUCCGGAGAUUUCUGAAUGAGGAAACUCACCAGAGUUCAUACUCUGGUAUCCUGUACUGAAUCCAUAGGUACAGGAGGGGAACCGCCUGAACUGAAACAUCUAAGUAGGGCGAGGAAGAGACAUCAAACGAGAUUCCGUUAGUAGUGGCGAGCGAACGCGGAAGAGGGCAAACCGGAAGGAGAAAUCCUUCCGGGGUAUGGACCGCUUUUAGGACUUUAGCUGUUAAUCGAAUGGCAUGGGAAGGCCAACCAAAGAGUGUGAGAGUCACGUAGAUGAAAACGGCGAGAGCUGCGCGAGUUCCAGAGUACGGCCAGACACGUGAAACCUGGUCGGAAGAUGGGGGGACCACCCUCCAACCCUAAAUACUACCCAGUGACCGAUAGCGUAUAGUACUGUGAAGGAAAGGUGAAAAGGACCCCGGGAGGGGAGUGAAAUAGAACCUGAAACCUUGUGCCUACAAGCACAUAGAGCACAUCAACGUGUGAUAUGGUACUUUUUGUAGAACGGUCCGGCGAGCGAUUGUAUGUUGCGAGCUUAAGGUCUUAAGGACUGGAGGCGUAGCGAGAGCGAGUCUGAACAGGGCGUUCAGUAACAUGCAAUGGGCCCGAAACCGGGUGACCUACCCAUGAUCAGGCUGAAGUGAAAGUAAAAUUUCAUGGAGGGCCGAACCGACCUCCGUUGAAAAGGCGGCGGAUGAAUUGUGGGUAGCGGAGAAAUUCCAAUCGAACUCGGAGAUAGCUGGUUCUCCCCGAAAUAGCUUUAGGGCUAGCCUCAUAUUAGAUACCCGGAGGUAAAGCACUGAAUGGCCUAGCGCCCGAGAGGGUAGCGAAGCCUAUCAAACUAAGAAUGCCGGAGUAUUGAUGUAUGGGAGUCAGACAGUGUGAGAUAAAUCUCAUUGUCAAAAGGGAAACAGCCCAGAUCUACAGCUAAGGUCCCAAAUUGUAUCUAAGUGGAAAACGAUGUGGAAAUACGCAGACAACCAGGAUGUUGGCUCAGAAGCAGCCACUCAUUUAAAGAGUGCGUAAUAGCUCACUGGUCGAGCGUCUCUGCGCGGAAAAUUUAACGGGGCUAAGAUACAAACCGAAGCUUAGGCUGCACGAAAGUGCGGGGUAGGGGAGCGUUGUGUAAGCGGAGAAACAGUAGCGUAAGCGGCUGUGGAGUUUACAGAAGUGAGAAUGCCGGAAUGAGUAGCGCGAAUGUGGUGAGAAUCCACAUGGCCGGAAACCUCAGGUUUUUGGAGGAAGGUUCGUCCGCUCCAAGUUAGGCGGGAGCUAAGGUCAGGCCGAAAGGCGUAGCCGAUGCACAGACGGUAGAGAUUCCGUCCCCACCGAAAGAUUUAAGCACAGGGACACUUUUUGAAGGUCGGAGCCAGGUGUUGGUUCUGGUAGUGAUCGAGGGAAAUAUAGUACCGAAGUCCGGCUGGAAGAGAGGCGAGAAAAGCUGUGUGUAUAUCUAAGGUGCCCGUACCGCAAACCGACACAGGUAGGUAGGAAGAAGAUUCUAAGGCCAACGGGAGAAGGGUUGUUAAGGAACUCGGCAAAUUGACCCCGUAACUUCGGGAGAAGGGGUGCUCCAGAGAUGGAGCCGCAGAGAAUCGGCCCAAGCAACUGUUUACCAAAAACACAGGUUUGUGCUAAAUCGAAAGAUGACGUAUACGAGCUGACGCCUGCCCGGUGCUGGAAGGUUAAAAGGAGAUGUGCAAGCAUUGAAUUGAAGCCCCAGUGAACGGCGGCCGUAACUAUAACGGUCCUAAGGUAGCGAAAUUCCUUGUCAGCGUAAGUUCUGCCAUUAAAGACACGGCGGUCAGAUAUCUGUGAUUUAUGGACUUUUCUGGGUUUAAACUUCACUUUACGUUUCAGAUCAACGUUUCUGGCAGUCAGAAGUCCCAUAUCAAGGUAGUUGUAAACACUGCGGACGGAAAGAUUCAAUUCCGGAUGGUUUGCAACGAUCUGGUAAGGAGACUGGCCCUGAUCGAUCAGAGGAGUGAUGAUCUUAUCCUUUUUGUGGAGUUCCUGUCUGGUCAUAGCGAUUCCGGACCUGGAAUCCUUGAGACACUCCCGGUAUUUCCGAUCAGCGAACCUGGCAUUGUAGGUAUAUUUGUGGGCAAUCGUACAAUGAUUGAUCUUUUUACUGCAUCCAUUGCAGACGUAGGGAGCCCGAUCAAGUUUGCUGCAGCGUUCUUUUUGAAAAUCUGGACAGGUCUGGUUACAGGUGGGACAGGAAGCACAUUUAACGCCGCAAAGAAGGAUCUUAUUGCAGGCAUUCGUUUUCUUACAACGGAAACGCUUGGUACAGAAGUUCUUCGCAUUAAGAAAAGUCCCUUUGUGAAACCAAUCGGAGGAUCUUCUGGCCUUCACUUCUUUUGAAAUCGUAGUAGGGUCCUUACAGAGAAAGCGGGCAAUAUCUUUAAAGGAUGUACCCUUAUCCAGUUCAUUCUGGAUAUAGAUACGAUCCUCUAUGGUGAGAUGCUUCU
rnacentral:rRNA from 1 species